AAAGUCGUAACAAGGUUUCCGUAGGUGAACCUGCGGAAGGAUCAUUACAAGUAUUUUUUUGUCAGUGAUUUAGCGAUGAAAAUCGAUGAAUUUACUGAUCCAAAAAAUUACCACCCCAUGUGUCUCUGUUUAACAGUUUAAUCUUUGGCGAUUCCGUCAUGACUGUAAAAAGUUGUGCCACUGGCAAGAGUUUGAAAUCUUUUGCGGGUGAGUUGGUCGCCAGAGUCUUUUCAUUAAUUUGAACUCUUGAAGAAUUGUCAAUUACAAAAAUAUUGUCUUAUAUUCCAUGAUUUUACAAAAUCAAAAAUAAAAUCAAAACUUUCAACAACGGAUCUCUUGGUUCUG
rnacentral:misc_RNA from 1 species